GAGGGUAUAGCUCAGUGGUAGAGUGCUUGCAUAGCAUGCAAGAGGUCCUGGGUUCAAUCCCCAGUACCUCCA
rnacentral:tRNA from 1 species